rnacentral:rRNA from 1 species
CGUCUAUAUACGUAUAGCAUAUCAAUAAGCGGAGGAAAAGAAACUAACUAAGGAUUCCCUCAGUAACGGCGAGUGAAGCGGGAAGAGCUCAAAUUUGAAAUCUUCAAGGUUUUACCUUGACGAAUUGUAGUUUAAAGAAGUGUUUUCUGUUGGUGUUUUGGUAAAAGUUCUUUGGAAUAGGACAUCAUAGAGGGUGAGAAUCCCGUAUUUGACCAUUACUUCCAGCGUUGUGAUACACUUUCAAAGAGUCGGAUUGUUUGGGAAUGCAGUCCAAAAUGGGUGGUAAAUUUCAUCUAAAGCUAAAUAUUGGCGAGAGACCGAUAGCGAACAAGUACCGUGAGGGAAAGAUGAAAAGAACUUUGAAAAGAGAGUUAAACAGUACGUGAAAUUGUCAAAAGGGAAGCGUUUGACACCAGUGUUGUUUUUCCGAAAAUCAAUUACGAAUGUUUUGUUUUUAAGAAGUUAUGACUUCAUCGGCUUGCUUCUUUCUUUAUGAAACUUUCUUAAUGCACUUUUCGGUUAACAAGUCAACAUCAAUUUCUUUUGUUGUAAAAGGGUAUGAGGAAGGUGGCUUUCUUUUCGGAGAAAGUGUUUAUAGCCUUGUGCCUCUGCAAUCGGAGAGAUUGAGGUCUGCAGCGUAGAUCCUUCGGGGUUAGAUACAUUUGUGCUAAGUUGUAGCUUUUCAUAGACAACUUGUUGACUAUGUUUAGUCAUGCGGCUUACUCGCUUGUGCUAUUUUACCUACGCUUAGAUGUUGACUGAUAUGUAGUCGUA